rnacentral:rRNA from 1 species
UAAUACGUAGGGGGCUAGCGUUGUCCGGAAUCAUUGGGCGUAAAGAGCGUGUAGGCGGCCCGGUAAGUCCGCUGUGAAAGUCGGGGGCUCAACCCUCGAAUGCCGGUGGAUACUGUCGGGCUAGAGUGCGGAAGAGGCGAGUGGAAUUCCUGGUGUAGCGGUGAAAUGCGCAGAUAUCAGGAGGAACACCAAUUGCGAAGGCAGCUCGCUGGGACGUAACUGACGCUGAGACGCGAAAGCGUGGGGAGCAAACAGGAUUAGAUACCCUGGUAGUCCACGCUGUAAACGAUGGGCACUAGGUGUGGGGGGUGUCGACUCCCUCCGUGCCGAAGCUAACGCAUUAAGUGCCCCGCCUGGGGAGUACGGCCGCAAGGCUA